rnacentral:lncRNA from 1 species
UUCUGGACCUUAAUUCAUUAGUUUGGUGAGUUGACAGGACUUUAAGAAAGAGAAUGAACAUGUUUCUAUAAGAUGUGCGAGUUUAAAAACAAGAGUGGAAACAAUUCAUAGAAAGUGGGGUGACUUGGUAUGCUUCCUUAUCGUAGAUUAAGCAUGUUUAAGGGCUCCAUGUCAUAGGUGAAACAGUAAAAGUAGACAAAAUUCAGCACCGACAUAUAAGAUCGGAUUACUUCGCUUUCAGUAUGAACUUCUGCGUCUACAUUAAUCGACUUAAUCGUACAAACUUAAUCAGAAAAGAUGGGCGAAUGAUAACAAAGGGAUAGUCAAACUCAAAGAUUGAAAAUUACCUUACAACGCCAUUGUUAAAAAAUAAAAAGACAAACAGACAAAUAAAAGUACACAAGACACAACUGAGAAACCUAAAAACUAAGCAACACAAACCCUACUAUAUCCUGGGGUGAUCUUAGGUACUCCGAAAGAUUAAGCAAAUCCAGCUACACAUGUGGCAUUCGUCCGUCGUAUUACUUGUGUUAUUCCAAAUCCGGUAAAUGGUUUCAUUCGGUCAGUCACAUUCGUGAAAAUGGAAGGGUAUUGUACAUACGGAACAUAUGUGAUAUCAUCUGUGAAACGGUUAUUCUAUUACCAUAAAGAAAAGAAAGAGGGACAAAAGAUACCAAAGGGACAGUCAAACUCGUAAAUCUAAAACAAACUGACAACGCCAUGGCUAAAAAUGAAAAAGACAAACAGAAAAACAAUAGUACACAUGACACA